AGUGAACGCUGGCGGCGUGCCUAAUACAUGCAAGUCGAACGGAGUGGCGCACGGGUGAGUAAUAUAUAGCUAAUCUGCCCCUUGCUGGAGGACAACAGUUAGAAAUGACUGCUACUACUCCAUAGCAAGGGAUGAGACUAUAUCGUAUCAGCUCUUCGGUGGGGUCACGGCCUACCGAGGCUAUGACGCGUAACUGGUCUGAGAGGAGGAUCAGUAACAUUGGAACGGAGACACGGUCCAAACUCCUACGGGAAGCAGCAAAAUGGGAUAUAGCGCAAUGGGGGAAACCCUGACGCAGCAACGCGGCGUGGAGGAUGACAAUUUUCGGAGCGUAAACUCCUUUUGUUAGGGAAGCGGUACCGAACGAAUAAGCACCGGCUAACUCCGUGCCAGCCGCCGCGGUAAUAC
rnacentral:rRNA from 1 species